UACAGGGGGUGCAAACGUUGCUCGGAAUCAUUGGGCGUAAAGCGCACGUAGGCGGUCUGUUAUGUCGGAUGUGAAAGCCCUCGGCUUAACUGAGGAAGUGCAUCCGAAACUGGCAGGCUAGAGUUCGGUAGGGGAGACUGGAAUUCCUGGUGUAGCGGUGAAAUGCGCAGAUAUCAGGAGGAACACCGGUGGCGAAGGCGGGUCUCUGGGCCGAUACUGACGCUGAGGAGCGAAAGCGUGGGGAGCGAACAGG
rnacentral:rRNA from 1 species